UAGGAUGUGGUGUAAUGGAAGCACGGAGGAUUUUGAGUUCUUUGGUAUAGGUUCGAGCCCUGUUGUCCUAG
rnacentral:tRNA from 1 species